rnacentral:rRNA from 1 species
GACAGAGGCCUCAAGCGUUAGGCGGAAUCACUGGGCUUAAAGCGUGUGUAGGCGGGUCGUUAAGUACCUUGUGAAAUCCCACGGCUCACCCGUGGAACGGCUGGGUAUACUGGCGAUCUUGGGCCAACUAGGGGCGACUGGAACAAGCGGUGGAGCGGUGAAAUGCGUAGAUAUCGCUUGGAACGCCGAAGGUGAAAACAGGUCGCUGGGGUUGUGCCGACGCUGAGACACGAAAGCCAGGGGAGCAAACGGG